GCCGCUUCCCGGGCGGUGUCAUGGCGGCCGGCGUUGAGUUGGCAGGACUGGCCCACGAAACUGAGGAAAGUCAGUAAAGCUGAGAAAGAAGUGGUGCAGCCGCACGGCGGGAAGCCGUGGGGAUGAGCAGAGGCCUUGCGGGGGCCGCGGUGUCCAUAGCGGUGAACCCUUGGUGAAGCGCCAGGCCGGGCCUCGGUUUUCUGACGCGGCCGUUGGUGGGAGUGCGGUGCCCUGCGAGUCCUCAGCGUCUGGAUCCGCACCAGCUUCGGCGUCCAGGGACAUUUGGAGCGGACGUGUCCACCCGCAGCGAUGUCGUCCUGGCUUGGGGGCCUUGGCUCCGGCUUGGGCCAGUCUCUUGGUCAAGUAGGGGGCAGCCUGGCUUCCCUCACUGGCCAGAUUUCAAACUUCACGAAGGAUAUGCUGAUGGAGGGCACGGAGGAUGUGCCAGCAGAUUUGCCCAAUUCCGGGAGAGAAGAAAAUGGAGCUACUCACUCAGUCUUAAGAUCAGAGAAUGAAAGACUUAAAAAGCUUUACACUGACCUAGAGGAAAAGCAUGAAGCAUCAGAACUUCAAAUAAAGCAGCAAUCUUCAAGUUAUCGAAGUCAGUUACAGCAGAAAGAGGAGGAAAUCAACCACCUUAAGGCAAGACAGACUGCGCUGCAGGAUGAACUGCUCAGACUGCAGGUAGCUGCUCAGUCAGCCCACUCAGGAGCUGCCACCGC
rnacentral:lncRNA from 1 species